rnacentral:rRNA from 1 species
UCCAGAGUAAAGCUGAUCUGCUCUGGGUAAGUCGGGGCCUAAGGAGAGGCAGAGAUGCGUAUCCGAUGGACAGCAGGUUUAAGAUUCCUGCACCCCUUGUUAUCAGAACUGCGGGGACACGGGAAGGGAAGCAGAGCCGGGAAUGGAAAGCCCGGUGCAAGCGAAGUAGUCGCAGGGUUGGAAAAUCCGCCCUGCAUGAGACGAAGGCGUGAUGCGGAGCGAAAUGAAGUAGUGAAGCUGCGGCCCCUUCCUGUCGAGAAAAGCCGCUAUCGUGUAGCAAGGGCCCGUACCGUAAACCGACACAGGUGGAUGAGGAGAGGAUCCUAAGGCCGGCGGGAGAAGUGUUGUUAAGGAACUCGGCAAAAUGACUCCGUAACUUCGGGAGAAGGAGUGCUGCGCAAGCAGCCGCAGAGAAAUGGCCCAAGCAACUGUUUAGCAAAAACACAGGUCUAUGCGAAACCGAAAGGUGAGGUAUAUGGGCUGACGCCUGCCCGGUGCUGGAAGGUUAAGGGGAGAGCUUAGCGCAAGCGGAGGUUUGAACUUAAGCCCCAGUAAACGGCGGCCGUAACUAUAACGGUCCUAAGGUAGCGAAAUUCCUUGUCGGGUAAGUUCCGACCCGCACGAAAGGCGUAAUGAUUUGGGCACUGUCUCAACAACACACCCGGUGAAAUUGAAAUACCAGUGAAGAUGCUGGUUACCCGCGCCAGGACGGAAAGACCCCAUGGAGCUUUACUCCAGCCUGAUACUGGGAUUCGGUAUUGCAUGUACAGGAUAGGUGGGAGGCUAAGAACUUAUGGCGCCAGCCGUGAGGGAGCCGAUGUUGGGAUACCACCCCUGCAGUACUGGGUUUCUAACCUGCGCCCGUGACCCGGGCGGGGGACAAUGUCAGGCGGGGAGUUUGACUGGGGCGGUCGCCUCCGAAAGGGUAUCGGAGGCGCUCAAAGGUCUCCUCAGGAUGGUUGGAAACCAUCCAGAGAGUGCAAAGGCAGAAGGAGGCUUGACUGCGACACCGACGGGUGGAGCAGGUACGAAAGUAGGACUUAGUGAUCCGGUGGCAUAAAGUGGGAUUGCCAUCGCUCAACGGAUAAAAGCUACCCUGGGAUAACAGGCUUAUCACUCCCAAGAGUUCACAUCGACGGAGUGAUUUGGCACCUCGAUGUCGGCUCAUCGCAUCCUGGAGCUGGAGCAGGUUCCAAGGGUUGGGCUGUUCGCCCAUUAAAGCGCUACGCGAGCUGGGUUCAGAACGUCGUGAGACAGUUCGGUCCCUAUCCGGCGCGGGCGCAGGAUAUCUGAGAGGAGCUGUCCUUAGUACGAGAGGACCGGGAUGGACCGUCCGCUGGUGGACCGGUUGUCAUGCCAAUGGCACGGCCGGGUAGCCAAGACGGGAAGGGAUAAACGCUGAAGGCAUCUAAGCGUGAAGCCCCCCUCAAGAUGAGAUAUCAUACUCGAAAGAGUGAGAGACCCCUUAGAGACGAUGAGGUAGAUAGGGCAGAGAUGGAAGCACAGCGAUGUGUGGAGUUGACUGUUACUAAUCGGUCGAUAGC